GGCUGUGUUUCUGAGUCUGGAGCAGCCAGGACCUCCUCAGGCCAGGGCUGAGGCCUGGGGUUGAAGCACCUCCUGUGAGCUCCUGAAUAGGCCAGUGGCCGGGAUUCUUCCUGCUCCGGUGCUAGUGCAAGCCCUGGCCACUGCAAUAGGCCCUGAACUCCAUCCAGGUGCCUUCUCCAUUUAGCCAAGGACCUCGCCGAGACAGGCUCACCUUGGCCCAGAUGCGGUCUACUCUGCCCUGGGCUGCAUUCCAGCCAAGAGCAAAGCUCAAAUGGACUGGCCUCGGUAACAUCCCCUCCGGCGGUCCCUGGCAGGACUCCCAGCUGGAGGGAGAGAAGAGCGUCCCUCCCGUAGCACACAUGGGAAGCGGGGGUGUCUUGUCUAUGGCAGGAAAAUGUACUCCAAAAGCGCAAGGGUGAGCUCUGCGCAGUCUACUGGGGCCCCCUGCCCCCUGGCAGAGACAACCAGAUUCAGGUCCUCCUCAUGCUGGUGUGGAGCUGUGUUAUAGUCACCACCUGCUUUGGACCCCUCCCACCAGAGUGCCAGCAGGGCCUUUCCUGGCCUGAGAGCCAGGAGUGCAAGUCCUGGACUCUAAGGGUAACCUGCUCUAUGGGACAACUGGCCCAGUUUCUGCUGUGGAAAACAGAAAAAAUAAAAGUGGACUGCAAGAACAUAAGAGAAAUAAGAGACCGAAUAGCCAAAUGCCGUGUAUGAACUCUGUUUCAUUCCUGAUCAGAAUAAACCACUUUCAAACAGAAAUAUUUUCGAUAACUGAAGAAACUUGGUUAGAGACUAGAAACUGGGUACUAUUGAGGAAUUACCACUAGGUUUGGUAGGUAUGACCGUGACAGCGUGUAGGGUUCUGUAGAAAAACCGAUUUUUUAGAUGCAUAGUGAAAUAGCACAAUGACUGAGGUUUACUUUAAAAUAUAUCAGCAGAAAAAGGUGGGGGGAUGAAUGGGACUUCUUCAUCAUUCAGGCUGCUAUCACAAAACACCACAGACUUAUAAACAACAAACACUUACUUCUCACAGUUCUAUUGGCUGGGAGGACCCGGAUCAAGGUGGCAGCAAGUGCCUGGUGAGAACCUGUGUGCUGGUUCCUACAUGGCAGCUUCUGGCUGUGUCCUCAAAUGGUAGAAGGCCCAAG
rnacentral:lncRNA from 1 species